AACUUCUUCUGUUCUAUAAUAUAGCAUCUGAUUAUUACAGUUUAUAUUAUUCUAGUUACAUUGACUGAUCUACUGAUAAGUUUUUAUUGAUUAAAUUUUGUUAAAAGCUAAUUUAACUGCAAAUCAAUGACUCUUGCAGUUGCUAAUUAUUGCUAGCUUCUACUUCUUAUUAUCAGAGUGUAUAUCUGAUUUGUGAUUAUUCAAGCUUCUCUUUCAAUAGCUCUCUCUUAUGUAAUUUUACUUCUAUUGAGAAGAUUACAUCUGACAAUAUUAUAAAGAUCAGAUGUAAUAAUAAUAAUAUAGAUAUCUCAAUUAAUAAUAAAAAUAUAAGCAAAGCAGUUGACA
rnacentral:sRNA from 2 species